rnacentral:rRNA from 2 species
UCUGGUGUCAGCCGCCGCGGUAAAACCAGCACCUCAAGUGGUCAGGAUGAUUAUUGGGCCUAAAGCAUCCGUAGCCGGCUCUGUAAGUUUUCGGUUAAAUCUGUAUGCUCAACAUACAGGCUGCCGGGAAUACUGCAGAGCUAGGGAGUGGGAGAGGUAGACGGUACUCGGUAGGAAGGGGUAAAAUCCUUUGAUCUAUUGAUGACCACCUGUGGCGAAGGCGGUCUACCAGAACACGUCCGACGGUGAGGGAUGAAAGCUGGGGGAGCAAACCGGAUUAGAUACCCGGGUAGUCCCAGCUGUAAACUAUGCAAACUCAGUGAUGCAUUGGCUUGUGGCCAAUGCAGUGCUGCAGGGAAGCCGUUAAGUUUGCCGCCUGGGAAGUACGUACGCAAGUAUGAAACUUAAAGGAAUUGGCGGGGGAGCACCACAAGGGGUGAAGCCUGCGGUUCAAUUGGAGUCAACGCCAGAAAUCUUACCCGGAGAGACAGCAGAGUGAAGGUCAAGUUGAAGACUUUACCAGACAAGCU